rnacentral:rRNA from 1 species
AGAAUCAACGCUGGCGGCGUGCCUAAUACAUGCAAGUCGUACGCGAAGACCCCGCAAGGGGUUGUUAGCGUGGCAAACGGGUGAGUAACGCGUGGGCGACCUACCUCAGAGUGGGGGAUAACCUUCCGAAAGGGAGGCUAAUACCGCAUGACAUCCCGUGUUUAGAUACACGGACAUCAAAGCCGGGAUCGCAAGACCUGGCGCUUGGAGAGGGGCCUACGUCCGAUUAGCUAGUUGGUGGGUAACGGCUCACCAAGGCGACGAUCGGUAU